AUAGCAAUUAUGUUUCUUGACUGUCCUGGGAAGCUCUAGAGCCUUCAGUGAGGAACAGGGAACAGAAGCUGCCUGGGGAAUCCUUUGACUGGUGAAUACCUGCUGCUGCAGAGAGGAUCUCAAACGUACACCACUCAUAAAUCCCAGGAUAAAAUCAAACAGGACUCUGGAGACCAUUGAAGAGCAGAAUGACAUGGUUUGCUGGAUGGCACGGGCAUCCCUAACAGUCUGUAAAGAGGCAUUCUAGUGAUGAGUCUCAUGCCUAGAUUCCUGGUUAUUCCACAUACCCUCACUGAUGUUUUCAGGAGAGACAGAUGUGUUCCACUGCCAGGCGGAUGUUGGGUACUCGCCCUGACUCUGUUUUGCUUCCUUUUUUCCUUUCUUCCUUUAAUGACUGAUCAGCAGCCACACUUUGUGCACAUCUGAAGUAGUUUGCAUUAAACCAGAUUGACAUUGCAUGAGCCUAUUUGAUGUCCCUGUUUAAUUUGCCCUUAAGUCAAUGUUAUUCAGAAAAAAGGCUUUGCGGGUUGGUAUUCUAUUCAUUGUUUUUCUCUAUUCGAGGAUGUGGAAGACUUGAGGCAAUUUCUUUACUGUUAGCCUCUGUACUUGGAGGUGUUGAGAGAAAGUUAAAUUGUUCUUCUAUCAGUGCUGAGCAACAGGAACAUAAUCAGCUUUCCCACUCUGAAGCACGAUGUGGGCAACAAAGGUAAAAUUAGAAUUAGAAAAGCCAAACAAAAAAACCACCAAACUUCUCUCAAUAUAACAUUUUAAGUCUUCCUAUAUGCAUGUCUCUUUUUUUAACCAAAUUGUUUUUGUUUAUAACAAUAUGGUCACAAAGCUACAUAAAAAGCACAUCUUUACUUCAUUCUGUUUAUACUGCAUGCAGGGCCUAAUUUUCCUUCUCUUACUCUCAGGCUUCAGUGAAGUUCAAUCACCUUUAACGUAUGGAAAAUGUACGUGAUGGAAAUUUUGAAGUCUGAUUUAAUUUUUGUUACGUUCUUUAUUUUGUGGCCGAUUGUUCUUGGAUAAUUCAUAUCUUACUAUGACAAGAUGUCGCAGUGAACUGGGACUAAAAUAAAAAUUGCUCUGAGACU
rnacentral:lncRNA from 7 species